UUAGAGUUUGAUCCUGGCUCAGGACGAACGCUGGCGGCGUGCUUAACACAUGCAAGUCGAACGAAGCUUGAUUACGGAUUCUUCGGAUGAAGUAUGAUAUGACUGAGUGGCGGACGGGUGAGUAACGCGUGAGUAACCUGCCCUUCAGAGGGGGAUAGCGUUUGGAAACGAACGGUAAUACCGCAUAAUGUAUUUUGACCGCAUGAUCGAAAUACCAAAGAUUUAUCGCUGAAGGAUGGACUCGCGUCUGAUUAGGUAGUUGGUGGGGUAACGGCCUACCAAGCCGACGAUCAGUAGCCGGACUGAGAGGUUGAUCGGCCACAUUGGGACUGAGACACGGCCCAGACUCCUACGGGAGGCAGCAGUGGGGAAUAUUGCACAAUGGGCGCAAGCCUGAUGCAGCAACGCCGCGUGAAGGAAGACGGUUUUCGGAUUGUAAACUUCUGUUCUUAGUGAAGAAUAAUGACGGUAGCUAAGGAGCAAGCCACGGCUAACUACGUGCCAGCAGCCGCGGUAAUACGUAGGUGGCAAGCGUUGUCCGGAAUUACUGGGUGUAAAGGGAGCGCAGGCGGGUGACCAAGUCAGCUGUGAAAACUACGGGCUUAACCCGUAGACUGCAGUUGAAACUGUUCAUCUUGAGUGAAGUAGAGGUUGGCGGAAUUCCGAGUGUAGCGGUGAAAUGCGUAGAUAUUCGGAGGAACACCGGUGGCGAAGGCGGCCAACUGGGCUUUAACUGACGCUGAGGCUCGAAAGUGUGGGGGAGCAAACAGGAUUAGAUACCCUGGUAGUCCACACUGUAAACGAUGAUUGCUAGGUGUGGGGGGUCUGACCCCUUCCGUGCCGGAGCUAACGCAAUAAGCAAUCCACCUGGGGAGUACGACCGCAAGGUUGAAACUCAAAGGAAUUGACGG
rnacentral:rRNA from 1 species